rnacentral:rRNA from 1 species
UUAUAAGAGACAGCAGCAGCCGCGGGAAUACAGAGGGUGCGAGCGUUAAUCGGAUUUACUGGGCGUAAAGCGUGCGUAGGCGGCUUCUUAAGUCGGAUGUGAAAUCCCUGAGCUUAACUUAGGAAUUGCAUUCGAUACUGGGAAGCUAGAGUAUGGGAGAGGAUGGUAGAAUUCCAGGUGUAGCGGUGAAAUGCGUAGAGAUCUGGAGGAAUACCGAUGGCGAAGGCAGCCAUCUGGCCUAAUACUGACGCUGAGGUACGAAAGCAUGGGGAGCAAACAGGAUUAGAUACCCCUGUAGUCCCUGUCUCUUAUAC